AGCAUUGUUAUGUUGGUUUCUUUAAUAGGAAAUUUGCAACUGACAGCAACUCCAGCCUCAUAUAUUUACAUCAACCCCACUAUUCCCGAGGCUGCUGCAAUGGCUGCUGAGUUUGUUGAACGACAUAAUCAAAACCCUGUACUCAAGAUAAAAUACCAAAAAAGUAAAGAUGUACAAGUCGAAAAGAAAAGAAACAGGUUUCCAUUGGUAGACUUGCUAUCUCAAAACCCAAAUGCAGUAAGCCAUCAAACCUUCUCUUAUCUUAAAAUAUAUAUACAAAUUUUAUAGUUUUAAAUUUAAUAUAGAUAAUAUUACAGGGAGCUCAGUUCACUUGCAAAGCAUCUCUGGUUAGCAUAGAUGCAAGCAAGGGUUGGUUUUAUAAAGCAUGUCAUGAAUGUCGUAAAAAACUUCAAAAAAGAGGAAACACACUUGCAUGCGAAGAUCAUGAUCAAGUUGCUAAACCAAACAAUUUGUAAGUACUAUGUUUUUUAUGUCAACUACUUGAGUAUAAUCAUCUUAACAUAUAUAUGUCUAAUAAUCGUUCAAUAGGUUUUUUAUCACAUCAUACAUCGCAGAUGAGACCGCUCAAGCAAAGAUAGUCAUUUUUGAUGCUGCAGCUAGAAUGUUGUUCCAAACAGAUUGCAACACACUCAUUGAUCAUCAUGGAUACACUGAUCCGUACACAUUGCCUGCACCACUCACCAUUCUCAUAGGCCAGCCAAAAAUAAUUCAAUUCCGAUUCGCAAGAUUCUGUAGGCCAGGUGCUAAAGACUUUGUAGCAGAUGCUGUUUUUGAAGAUAUAGUUUCUCCAGAAAAAGAAAGUCACACAGAAACAGACAUUAUCAACCAACCAACUGCCUCAUCAUCAUCAAAAAAAAAACACCCACUGCAUCAACUGAUCCUCCAUCUAUUGCUUCUGUUACUCCAGCAAAAGCCUUUCAAGAGCGUCUCACAACAUCACCCAUCACACCCGCUUCCGCUGAAACUAAACAUCACCAAAUGAAAUCUGUCCAGAAACAACUUUUCCAAACAUCAUCUGAAG